GGCUGGGAGGGCUCACAGACACAUGGAAACAUGGAUACAUGGACAUAGAGACAUACAAAUACACACAGGUCUCUCCAGGCCAGUGCACAGCUGCUCUCCCCUGAGCUGCAUCCGAUUGGUUUCAUGGACACGCAGGAAGGCUGGGGCUUUGUGCCCACGUCCUGGAUCCGUGUGAGUGCAUUUCUUUCCAGGGCCCUGAAGGACAAUUCGGGAGUCCCCACAGGACAGCAAAGGGAGGAGGUGAGGGAACAGACGACGGGAGCGAAGGAAAGGCAGGGACUGUCGAUGCUGAGCUGCACGAUGCCAGCCCGAUGCCCGGGGCCCCAGCCCGGCGCCGCCGCUUGCGACGUGCAGAGAGCCGAGCGCCGCCCCGCAGCCCCCGCGCUCGCCUCCGCUCCGUUCCCUGGCGGGACUGGGCGAGAGCCCGAGCGGCAGCGGCGCAGGGCUGAGCCCCGGGGCGGAGCUGGCGGCGGCCCAGAGGAGGCGGCACGGCCGCAGCAGAGCCGGGGCUCAGGGGCACAGCGAGGCUCGGCCGGCGGAGCGGCGCCAUGCGGCGGGCUCGGGCCGCGGGGCUGCCGGCGCUGGCCGCGCUGCUGCUCGUGGCUUUGGCCAGAGCCCAGGUGCAGCAGGAGCCAUUCCUGGAGACCACCGAGGGCACCGGCAUCAACAUCACCUGCUCACAUCCCCAAAUCCAGACCAGCGAUUACAUCCACUGGUACCGCCAGCUCCCAGGCCGAGCUCCCGAAUUCCUCGUGAGCAUACUCAAAGACUCCAAGGAUGUGCCGGCCAUUGCAGGAACGCUGUCGGUGUCGGAGGACCGGCGCUCCAGCGCGCUGUGGCUGGCUGCGCCCCGGCGCGGGGACGCGGCCGUGUAUUACUGUGCGCUGGGGGCCACGGGCAGAGGAGCCGGGGCUGCGGCCGGGCACGAACCGCCGCGGGCGGGGCCGGGCGGGGCCAGCAGGGGCCGCUCCGCUCCCGGCUGACGCCGCUCGGCGGGGCACGGACCGAGCCGCGCCUGGAACCCGCGCCACCCCGAACGGGAACCACCACGGGCCCCGCACACGGCCUGGCCUCCUGCCAGAGACACCUCCGAGCACAAGGAUGCUGCCCUGC